UGCCUUGCAUCUUCCAUCCUUUGGCAUUACUUAAGAUUUUCCCGGAAUAAAUGCAUGUACAUAAGCACAUCUACUCUGUGUAAGAAUGGCUUUUUCAACACUAAAAACAAGUAUGCUUCAUGUUACAAGCGAUUUAUUUGCAGUGGCUCCCUGCCUGUGUUCCAAGCAUACUCAAGACACAUCUUACAUUCAGACGAAAUGCUUUUUUCACUCAAUGUCUUCUCUGAAAAGCAGUCCUUCCGAUGCUCGAAACCUGUUUUCUUUGUUGCUCCAAGCCUUCACUGUCCUCGUGGUUGGUCUCUAUGAUGGAGACCAAGUGUGCUGAUCUUUGAUUUGAUGAAGUCUUCACCUCUGCAGAAGCAAUCUGCUACCAAAGUCUUUCUCUCACUUAACAGAAAUUUCUGUAUUUAGGGACUUCGACUCAAAUGUGAGUGUCAUUUUUGGAAAAUGUAGAAUAGCAUAUCCUUUGGAUUCGUUGUGUAGUCCACAUGUUGAUACUAAAGGAUAUGUUGAUAUGUGUCUUGCCUUCUUUCUCCCAUUGCCAAUCCUGUAUCAGUUAAGUUCCUGCUUUCUUUUGUUUGUUCUUUGAGACCACUGCUAUACUCAAGACACUCAGCAGGAUUAUCACUGUGUUUCACAUUCAUGGUAACAUGCUUGCUUUUCCUAAUGUUAGCAGUUAGGAGACCACCUACCGGAUGUAUCUGCAUCAGUAUAUCAAGUGUGCCUGAUCAUCGUCACUGAGGAGUCAUGCCAAGUAGGCAUAAUGCUUUUGCCUUGACCCUUUUGCAAGAGCCUGUCAUCAAUCUGCUGCAUAGCUUCCUCAGACGGUCAAUAUGAGUAUCCAGAAAUAAUUAAUUCCAAAAACCUGAUAUGUAAAUGUGUUUCCAGGCGAUCUGAACACAAGCACCACUUCACUAGAGAGAACUGAUGUUCUGAGGCUGGAACAACAUAGAAGGGACAAUCACAUACAAGGCUUCAAGUUGCCUAAGAAAUUAACCAUGAAAGAUGGAAGUCACUGAAAAGGUUAGCCAGCUGUAGGACUCGAACCCACAUCUUCUGGAUUACCGAUUACCAAUCCAGAAGAUGUGGGUUCGAGUCCUACAGCCUGCUAACGUUUUCAGUGACUUCCAUCUUUCAUGCAGCAUUUUUACCACUUUCCCUUGUUGCUUUUUUGUAAAAGCUUACCACAGUGUACCGAGCUCCUGAACCUUACAAGUGUUCUAGGCCCAUAAUGGCGUGUGCCAUUCUUUAUAUGUGAAAACCUCAGCUCAGCCAACAAAGUCAUCCUAAGGGAGGCCGGAAUAUAUGCAAAGCAACACAAUUUUGCAUUUGUAUGAGUUUGCUAUGCCCCAUAUUUCUGAGACAGAGUGAACGAGAUAAGGUGCAUCGUAUCAUGCACAGACGUGACCUCUCACUGCUGUAGGUCGGCCCACUCUGAUGUUCAUGUUCAUGUUCUGCAUCAUUAUAUGCCUUGUCAAAAAUCAGGUUCCUUCCUGUUCCAAUGAUGUUGAAAGUCUACUACACCUUAGUUCACUCGCACCUUAAUUGUGCAGCUGAAGUGUACGGUCUUUGUUACUGAUUCCAAAGCUAGUACUACGAACAAUACUUAGAAUUCCAGCAGCUAAUUCCAUCAUUUUUCCUUUCUCGUUCCUAUUAGUUACAAAAUACAAAGUUUAAUCUGCACUGCUGACAUGCCGCAUAUUGUAACCGUCACUAAUAUUGUUUUCCCAUAUCUGCUACGACGGGAUUUCUCUACUUUCGUCUAUCCCCACCACACGUAAGAUAUGGAACACACUCACUGUAUUACACUGACCCAGACUUAUGGAAUAAAUUGCCAUUUCAUAUACACCAGAUCAAUAACUAUAUAUUUUCUGUUCAAGAGGAAAGUUAGUGUAUUUCCUUGCGUGCAUGUACAACCCUGUUGUAUGAUUGUCUUUGAGUUCACCGAUUACUUUUUGCAUUUUUUGCUUGGUUUGAAAUGUGUUUUGCGUACCAAAGAUAAGCUAAAUUUUGUAAUAUUACAGCAUGUAUCGGUCGAUAAUAGUAGUCUUGAUCUUUCUCUUGUUUUAUAUCCAGGAGUUUUUUAAUUUACUCGAGAUGCCAAAUGUUGCCUCACAAGAUUAUAUUCGUCUACCUAUACAUGAUGUGUUGUUACCUAUGGGAGUGCGUAACAGGCUUGUCCUAGCAGUCCCAUAGGUAACAACACAUAAUGUACAGGCAGACAAAUAAACUAUCAAUAUCUAUCUAUCUUUUGGAGACCUCACACUCAUUUCCCUUUGAGUCUCGGACUCUUUUGGCUCCAGUGCUUCAGCAUUUGGCUUAGCUUAGCUCCACUUAUGUUUAUGAUUACUUUUGAAUGCCACCUGCUUUUCCAUCUUUUUUUGCAGCCGGAAGCGAACGACUCUCUUCACAUUGUGUAUCUCAUUCCGAGCCCUUCCCAUUACCAACGCCUUCAACUUUGCUAGCAGGGUAUCUAUGGCCACAGCAAUCUUUUACCCCCAAUAUCUCAAACGACUGCUAUGGCCAUGUACAAUCCAACUUUUCUAAUUUGUCCCUCACACUCAACCGCCACUCAGAAGAAAGGCGGAUGGAGGAUGGGAGAUGGUGCAUUUGUAAAUUGCUGUAAAUAAACAAGUGAUUGAAACGUA